GACGAACGCUGGCGGCGUGCCUAAUACAUGCAAGUAGAACGCUGAAGAGAGGAGCUUACUCUUCUUGGAUGAGUUGCGCACGGGUGAGUAACGCGUAGGUAACCUGCCUUGUAGCGGGGGAUAACUAUUGGAAACGAUAGCUAAUACCGCAUAACAAUGGAUGACACAUGUCAUUUAUUUGAAAGGGGCAAUUGCUCCACUACAAGAUGGACCUGCGUUGUAUUAGCUAGUAGGUGAGGUAAUGGCUCACCUAGGCGACGAUACAUAGCCGACCUGAGAGGGUGAUCGGCCACCCUGGGAGUGAGACACGCCCCAGACGCCUACGGGAGGCAGCCGGAGGGAAACGUGGGCAAGGGGGGCAACCCUGACCGAGCAAGGCCGCGUGAGGGAAGAAGGGUUUCGGAUCGUAAAGCUCUGUUGUAAGUCAGGAACGGGUGUGAGAGUGGAAAGUUCACACUGUGACGGUAGCUUAUCAGAAAGGGACGGCUAACUACGUG
rnacentral:rRNA from 1 species